rnacentral:lncRNA from 1 species
GCAUCCAGGACGACCUCGACCUACUGCCACUAGCUGUUGGUGCACCUCAUGCUAGCUGCUAGCUAUUACCUAGUGUGCUUGAUUCUACCGCUACAAAGAAGGUAAUAAAAAAUAUUCACUACCGCUAUUGUCUUGCAAGUUCUGGAAUUGGGUCUGAUGUUGUGCGGGCAUGCAUGGUGUGUGCUCUAUGUGUUAUUUUUUCCGAGAUGUGAGCUGUGUGAUUCUCUAAAUAGGAGAAUUUGCGUUUAUUGAGAUACUCCCUCCGUCCGGAAAUACUUGUCGCACAAACAGAUAAAAUUGGAUGUAUCUAAAACUAAAAUACGUCUAGAUACAUCCAUUUCCACGACAAGUAUUUUCGGGCGGAGGAAGUACCAUAGAUGGGUGCCAUUCGUGCUCCCAUUUAUAUUUGGGCUUAUCAUAGUUCACCAGGGAGAGCUAUUAUGUACAGAAGUACAUGUAUCGAUGCCCCCGAGUCCAUGUAUCGUUACAAAAAAAUAGUUUAGUUUUUGUUAUAGAAUAGUUAACUACAAGUUCAAUUGUUAUAAAAAUUGCUUUUACCUGUUUCGUUCCUGCAUGUAUGUAUCAGUUCAAUGUUUUGAUAUGGCUCUGUUUAGAUUACUUCCAACUCUGAAGCUUUACAUGGAUAUUUGGGGAUGGGAUUUUCAGGUACUAGUUUGGAACUGUAUCUAACCCAUACUAAAAUGUUUCAGCAGUUCGACAGGGGCGCGGGGUUCAGUUCAACGACGAUGAGCCAGGCAGCCAGCCUUCGCAUCACGAACUGGUGCAGUUUGAUCUUGGGCGAAUUGGAAAUUUCUUGAUGUUGAGUGUGUCAGUACAACCCUACACUACAAGGCACGCGUACAUCAAAUUCACGUGUUAGUCAACCGUAUCGUGCAUUUGCUUGGCAGCUUUGCACUCUAGUUACAUAUCAAUUGCUAAAUAAAUAAAAAAUGUUAUUCACUUUUCUGUGUUUUGUUGAAUAAUUCUCAUGCUUUCUUUUGUGAGGACUACAAAUCAUAGUGCUUAAAAUACAGAUGUGUGCGUCAUACUUGAACUAAAAAAGUUACAGGAGAAAGUACCUCUAUUCCAUUACUUUGAGAAGUACAGGUACACCUUUCUAAAUAGUACAGUGCAUGACCGGUGCUCGCCCCGCAUAAAUGGAGUCUUCAGCUCACCACGCUACCUCCCGCCGGUGGGGCUCCGUUGCUGCAUCGCCCCGACCGUUCACUGCCACCAACCCAGGCCGUUCAACGAGGCAGCGCCAAGCCGUUCGAUGUCGCAACUCAGGAGGCUGCCUCCUUUCCCUCCCUCCACUGCACUGAACCUAAAG